rnacentral:rRNA from 1 species
GACGAACGCUGGCGGCGUGCUUAACACAUGCAAGUCGAGCGGUAAGGCCCUUUCGGGGGUACGACGAGCGGCGAACGGGUGAGUAACACGUGGGUGACCUGCCCUCAGCUCUGGGAUAAGCCUGGGAAACCGGGUCUAAUACUGGAUAUGACUCCAUGACGCAUGUUGGUGGGGUGGAAAGCCUUGUGCGGCUGAGGAUGGGCCCGCGGCCUAUCAGCUUGUUGGUGGGGUGANGGCCUACCAAGGCGACGACGGGUAGCCGGCCUGAGAGGGCGACCGGCCACAACUGGGACUGAGACACGGCCCAGACUCCUACGGGAGGCAGCAGGUGGGGAAUCUUGCGCAAUGGGCGAAAGCCUGACGCAGCGACGCCGCGUGAGGGAUGACGGCC